GGAAGGGUGCUCCGAAUGGUAAGGAACUGGUCUUGAAAACCAGCGCUCAGCAAUGGGCUUGUGGGUUCGAGUCCCACCCCUUCCG
rfam:Candidatus Blackburnbacteria bacterium RIFCSPHIGHO2_01_FTLL_43_15b rifcsphigho2_01_scaffold_1390, whole genome shotgun sequence.